GGGUGGGACAUGCUGUGAUUCUUCGAUUCUCUGAUCAACAAUGGGUGGCAACAAAAUGUUGCUUAGCCACCAACAGCAUCUGAAGAAGGUCUGGCCCAUGGAUGACCAACACAGCAUGGCCAUCCCAGGAAUCCUGUUCUCACUGGGAAGCAUCGUUCCAGCCUUUGUCAGGGAACAGUUUUCUAUGCAGGAAAUCCUUCCUAUAUGUCUGAAAAAGGAUGCAGGUGAUGUGAAUUGUGUCUGGUGACAGAAAUACCUCAGGUGACCUUACACUGUGCCAGUGCACAAAAGAUCUGCUCUUCUCUCAGCCACUGAGAACUCCUACAGCUCCAUGUCCAUUUUUAAAUGAUGCAUUUCCUGACAUCUGGAACUAGAUGCAAGGAGCAAAGCCACAACGCUGACCGACCGCCCGGCUUCUCCGGGACCAGGCUGAAGGGAUGUUUUCCUCAGGGGAUUACAGCAAAGCUGAGGCAUGUGCUUCAACACUUGCAUGGGAUUACUAAUUUUAUUAAAAAUGGAAAGUACACUUUA